AUGGUUAAUGUCUCCCUUUUUUUCAACUGGAUUUGCGAAAUCAUCUUUAAUCAUGCAUCCCUCUGAUCUUCUGGUUUUACUUAAUCAUCAUUUUUGAAGCGAAGCAUAAGAUAUAUACUAUGAACAUUAUACACUACGCAGGCAGGUACAGGCUUGAUAUUUGGCUUCAGUUACGCUCAGAAUAGGUUUUAAGCUAUGUUGUUGAUCUGAUCAGUUAGUCUAUGAACUUUUUGUUUGUUAGACAAAUUUUUCUCACCCAUCGUCCUUGCCUAGCA
rnacentral:lncRNA from 1 species